UGGGGAAUUUUGGACAAUGGGCGAAAGCCUGAUCCAGCAAUGCCGCGUGUGUGAAGAAGGCCUUCGGGUUGUAAAGCACUUUUGUCCGGAAAGAAAUCCUUGGCUCUAAUACAGUCGGGGGAUGACGGUACCGGAAGAAUAAGCACCGGCUAACUACGUGCCAGCAGCCGCGGUAAUACGUAGGGUGCAAGCGUUAAUCGGAAUUACUGGGCGUAAAGCGUGCGCAGGCGGUUUGCUAAGACCGAUGUGAAAUCCCCGGGCUCAACCUGGGAACUGCAUUGGUGACUGGCAGGCUAGAGUAUGGCAGAGGGGGGUAGAAUUCCACGUGUAGCAGUGAAAUGCGUAGAGAUGUGGAGGAAUACCGAUGGCGAAGGCAGCCCCCCUGGGCCAAAUACUGACGCUCAUGCACGAAAGCGUGGGGAGCAAACAGGAUUAGAUACCCUGGUAGUCCACGCCCUAAACGAUGUCAACUAGUUGUUGGGGAUUCAUUUCCUUAGUAACGUAGCUAACGCGUGAAGUUGACCGCCUGGGGAGUACGGUCGCAAGAUUAAAACUCAAAUGAAUUGACGGGGU
rnacentral:rRNA from 1 species